UACGGAGGGAGCUAGCGUUGUUCGGAAUUACUGGGCGUAAAGCGCGUGUAGGUGGCCACGCAAGUCAGGUGUGAAAGCCCAGGGCUCAACCCUGGAAGUGCACAUGAUACUACGUGGCUGGAGUACUGAAGAGGAGAGCGGAAUUCCCGGUGUAGAGGUGAAAUUCGUAGAUAUCGGGAGGAACACCAGUGGCGAAGGCGGCUCUCUGGGCAGAUACUGACACUGAGACGCGAAAGCGUGGGUAGCAAACAGG
rnacentral:rRNA from 1 species